CCUACGUGGUGCAGCAGUAGGGAAUAUUGCUCAAUGGGGGAAACCCUGAAGCAGCAACGCCGCGUGGAGGAUGACGGUUUUCGGAUUGUAAACUCCUUUUGUUAGAGAAGAUAAUGACGGUAUCUAACGAAUAAGCCCCGGCUAACUUCGUGCCAGCAGCCGCGGUAAUCCGGAGGGUGCCAGCGUUACUCGGACUCACUGGGCGUAAAGAGGGAGUAGGCGGGUUAGCAAGUCAGCUGUGAAAUCCUAUGGCUUAACCGUAGAACUGAAGUUGAAACUGUUAGUCUAGAGUAUGGGAGAGGUAGGUGGAAUUCUUGGUGUAGGGGUAAAAUCCGUAGAGAUCAAGAGGAAUACUCAUUGCGAAGGCGACCUACUAGAACAUAACUGACGCUGAGGCUCGAAAGCGUGGGGAGCAAACAGGAUUAGAUACCCGUGUAGUC
rnacentral:rRNA from 1 species